rnacentral:rRNA from 1 species
UACGGGGGGGGGUAAGCGUUGUUCGGAAUUACUGGGCGUAAAGGGCUCGUAGGCGGCUUUGCAAGUCGGGUGUGAAAUCCCCAGGCUUAACCUGGGAACUGCAUUCGAGACUGCAUUGCUAGAGUAUGGGAGAGGGAAGUGGAAUUUCCGGUGUAGCGGUGAAAUGCGUAGAUAUCGGAAGGAACAUCAGUGGCGAAAGCGACUUCCUGGACCAGUACCGACGUUCAGGCACGAAAGCGUGGGGAGCAAACAGG